rnacentral:rRNA from 1 species
GACGAACGCUGGCGGCGUGCCUAACACAUGCAAGUCGAACGGGGUGUCGGGAGCUUGCUCCUGACACUUAGUGGCGAACGGGUGAGUAACGCGUGAGGAACCUGCCUUUCAGUGGGGGACAACAGUUGGAAACGACUGCUAAUACCGCAUAAUGUAGCGAGACCGCAUGAUCUUGCUACCAAAGCUUUAUGUACUGAGAGAUGGCCUCGCGUCUGAUUAGCUAGUUGGUGAGGUAACGGCCCACCAAGGCGACGAUCAGUAGCCGGACUGAGAGGUUGACCGGCCACAUUGGGACUGAGAUACGGCCCAGACUCCUACGGGAGGCAGCAGUGGGGAAUAUUGGGCAAUGGGCGCAAGCCUGACCCAGCAAACGCCGCGUGAAGGAAGAAAGGCUUUCGGGUUGUAAACUUCUUUUGUCAGGGAAGAGUAGAAGACUGUACCUGGCGAAUAAGCCACGGCUAACUACGUGCCAGCAGCCGCGGU